UGAAUGGAGAGAGAGAGAGAGCGAGAGAGAUGAGAGAUAAGAUGGGUGAUGGGUCGACUAAGUAGUUUUAGAAAGGGUUCAUGGACUGAAGAAGAAGAUAAGUUGCUGAGAAGAUGUGUAGAGAUGUAUGGAGAAGGCAACUGGAGGCAUAUCCCUUCAAGGGCAGGCCAGAACUAC